rnacentral:lncRNA from 1 species
AAAAUUAACGAUGGUUUUCCAAAGCGGAAAGAAACAGACAAGAUGAAGCUGAAUACGAGAACUUCCGUUAAAGCCUCGCCGAUGAAAAGAUUUAUUUGCUACAAAAAUCUAACAUGCAGAGAAGACAACCUGUGAUGGAAUGAGGAAAAGCAACAACAUUCCUGGACCUAGACAAUAACGACAUGGAAGGAGGGAUAAAGAUAAGCAUCCGUAUUAUGCAGAAAUUGGCAGAGGUCAUUCAACAUUUCCCUUGUGGUUUGAAGCAGUCUACGGAUUCCAUUGAUGUCUUCAAGAUCAAAAAGAGUAAUUUACCAUUCAAGUUGUGCUGUUUAAUCACCUACUGCUGGGCCAAAUCCUUGAAGAUUCAGCAUGAACACUGCUUCUCUGUCUUGCUGCAGUAUUUUCCACUCGAGUUGCCGACAGUGAUGAGUGGUUAUUAGAAAAUCCCAUAACUGAUUUGUACAUUUAAUUUUGUAACCAUGCUGAGCGUUUCCGAUUUUCCAGUUAAUUACCACAUUGGAUUUGACAGCAAAAGCUUUCAAGGGUUUACAAGUCACACUAAAUUCUCAUUAACAUCCAUUCAGAAAACUUGAUUGUCUAGUAAAGCCAGUCCUCACUAGCGACGCAAGCCUAAGCGUAAGAAUAUCAAACCUUGUGUUUUUCUUAUGCUUAUGUCGCUAUUAUGUCCAGUGGGUACAUGUUAGCAUUUAUAGCAUACUUAAGCAUAAGCAAAAGACUUUCACCCAAUCAGCAAGCACUUUGAUUAUGCUUACAUGCCAACCAUUUCCCCGCUGAACGUAAAAUGACAUUAGCAUAUGCAUGAGCAUAAGAAGAACACUUAUGCAUAUGCUUACCUCGCUGCCUUUCUCACUGGUGUACAAGUUUAUGUUAAUGGUUAUGCUUAAAUGCUUUUGCUUGCAUCACAAGUGAGAACCGGGCUUAGGAUGUCAAAUCAAUGAACAUGACAAUCCGUUUUUAAUGUUGUAAAUAUUUCCUGUUGUUCAACUGCAAUUGAAACUGGAGAUCACAGUUCCUAGGUCGAAAGUUGGUUUCCUUAUUAACAGAAUAAAAUGGUGUGACUACUUUUAAUUUUAGCAGAUUUCCAUUUUUGUAGCUGAAAUAUGCAACACUUAUGUUCCCAUAAAUAUUAUGGUGUACCAUCUCUAGGCACAAAAGCCUUUCUUGCACCACAGGUAGUCUGUCUUUCUUGUGUUUAGUAAUAGUAAUUGGACCGAGCAGAGUACUAUUCAGACAGUAAUCAGGCAAGAAAAUUCAAAAUCAGACCAGCGCAAAGUGCGAGGCCAAUUCUAAAAUAACAGGCACAAUUUCUCACUGAAUUGUACAACACAAGGUCUGGUUACUCAAUAUUAAUUGCAUCAUUGACAAAUUUUGAGAUUAAAAAAAUCUUUUUAGAACUUCUUUUGAGCAAAAAUGGAGAACCAAUCACAAUGCCCCUCUCUAUGAUCUAAGAAAAACACAAGUUUGAGUGUUGAGAGAGUGGAAGGAGUUUUGGGUCACUAAAUUUUGAUACUCUUUAUAGGGUAAUACAAAUUCUCAUUAUCAUGUUGAUCAUUGCCAAAUUUCAAUUAGUGAUAUGAGGAAAACUGUCGACACAUGUUCGUUAUGCAUGAGAACAUAAAUCAUGUGCAUAAAAUUUCAGUCAGCCAUAUUUCUUCUCAAAGGAAAAAGGAAUAUUGCCCAUUAUACUUCAUUCACCCAGCAUACUCUGUUGAAAUCCCAUUCCCUCUUUUCCCCUGUAAAAUAUAUCAUUGUUUUCUGUUUGUUUGUUUUUUUCCUAUAUCUGUUGGGGAAGUGGGGGAUGGCCUAUCACAGCAAAUGUGUAGAAGAAAUGCAAGGAUAAAAGUGACCAUUAGGUUGCAAAGGAUGAUGAAAGGAGUCUGACAUUGUGGACAUAAUAAUUUUGCUAUCCCCUCCAGGAUGUAGAAAGCAAGUAAUCUUAUGGUAAAUUACGUUAGUUUUUUUUAGAGAAAGUACUAUAGCCCUUCUUAGAUAUUUCAACGGUUUGGAGCGGCAGUUGUUCAAGGGCAGCACUGUGCUUAUUUUUUUCAAGUAAUUGUGGUACUUAUUUGAAGUGCUGUAGUUAUUUUGUAACCUAUUCUCUAUACCUGGAGGGGGGCACUUAAAUGUAUUUUCAAAAAUAUAUCCCUUUGUUGUCCCUUGUAAUCUAAUGGUCACUUGUUCCUCUUCGACCUUGGGCUCUCCAAUGUGGAAUCUUUUUGGGAGAACAAAACGGCCUUGCCUGGAAUGGCAAGUGCAUUGGACUUGCAACUGAGUGGUCAGGGUUCCAAUCAAGUCCAUUGUGUAAUGUGCUCUAUAGGGCAAGACCCAUUUUACUCACAAUGCCCCUCUCUAGCUCUCUACUCUUUGAGAGGGUCGUGGCCAAUAUGGGGACAUACUGCUGGACAGUAUGGAGUAUAUAAUUUUACGUAAGUCCGUCCUUAAUGGGGUCUGAACCUGUCCUAAACAUGCAUGGAUGCACAAUUGUCAAAAAAAAAAGAAAAGUUUAAACUCGGCAAAUAUCAUCCAAGAUUGAAGAUGUUUGCAGACGUUUUGCAGGACAAGCCAAUUUCAGAUAGUUUUCAAGGCGAAAAAAAAUAAUCGUUCAGUUGUCAGUCCAGUUUGUCCUGAGUUUCUGGAAUAGAGGUGUUUUAGAAUUUCAGGUUUUCUAUGUGCUAAACAGAGGGUUUCACGUCCUAAGUCGCACCCCUUUACCCAAACGGAACAUGAUGGCAAGUGCCCCCACCCGCUUGGACUAGCUCUUCAAAUUCUUAGGACAUAAAUAGUUCGAUCUACAACAUUAUUAUUAUCCCACUGUGUAAAAAUACAAAGAAGUUUCCCGAUAAGGGUAAUUCCCUAAUAAGAUUUUCCUCUAAACAUUUGCUAUAAUUAUAAACAUCAUCUUUAAAAAUAUUACCACCCAAUAUUGAAAAUCAAUUUGAAAUUCUUACAUCAGAUUUCAAGUCCAGGGCUUUCACCAAAUAAAAAGAAAAAUUGUAUAAUUCUGCUGGUGGUCAUCACCCAGCUGUAUAAACUAUACAUUUAAGCUUUACAAAUUAAAAAUAUUAAAGUUUGACUUUGAGAA